rnacentral:rRNA from 1 species
AUUGAACGCUGGCGGCAUGCUUUACACAUGCAAGUCGAACGGCAGCACGGGGGCAACCCUGGUGGCGAGUGGCGAACGGGUGAGUAACACAUCGGAACGUGCCCAGUUGUGGGGAUAACCUAUCGAAAGGUAGGCUAAUACCGCAUGAGCUCGGCAAGAGGAAAGCGGGGGACUCAGCGAUGGGCCUCGCGCGACUGGGAGCGGCCGAUGUCCGAUUAGCAGUUGGUGGGGUAAAGGCUUACCAAGGCGACGAUCGGUAGCUGGUCUGAGAGGAUGAUCAGCCACACUGGGACUGAGACACGGCCCAGACUCCUACGGGAGGCAGCAGUGGGGAAUUUUGGAC